rnacentral:rRNA from 1 species
GUCUAUGGCCAUGCCACCCUGAACAAUCCCGAUCCUGUCCGAUCUCGGAAGCUAAGCAGGGUUGGGCCUGGUUAGUACUUGGAUGGGAGACCACCUAGGAAGACCAGGUGCUGUAGGUG